CAAGUCGAGGGUUUGAUUUAUCAAGCACUGGCAUCCGGGUGAGCAACGCGUAGGUCAUCUGCCCCUAUCACAGACAUAACAGUUCUAACGGACUGCUAAUAUCUGAUGAGGCGAGCAAUCGUCAAAGCUUUGGCGGAUAGGGAUGAGCCUGCGUCUGAUUAGGUAGUUGGUGAGGUAAUGGCUCACCAAGCCUUCGAUCAGUAGCUGGUCUGAGAGGACGAACAGCCACAUUGGAACUGAGACACGGUCCAGACUCCUACGGGAGGCAGCAGUGAGGAAUAUUGGUCAAUGGGCGCAAGCCUGAACCAGCGACGCCGCGUGCGGGAUGAAGGGGCUUUGCCUCGUAAACCGCUGUCGGAUGGGACGAAAGGUGGCUUUGAGCCACUGGGACGGUACCAUCAAAGGAAGGAUCGGCUAACUACGUGCCAGCAGCCGCGGUAAUACGUAGGAUCCGAGCGUUGUCCGGAGUUACUGGGUGUAAAGGGUGCGUAGGCUGUUCUGUGCGUCAGAGGUGAAAUCCACGGGCUUAACUCGUGGGGUGCCUUUGAUACGGCAGGGCUUGAGUACGAGAGAGGUGCGUGGAAUUCCUGGUGUAGCAGUGAAAUGCGUAGAUAUCAGGAGGAACACCGGUGGCGAAGGCGGCGCACUGGCUCGUAACUGACGCUGAGGCACGAAAGCGUGGGGAUCAAACAGGAUUAGAUACCCUGGUAGUCCACGCCUUAAACGAUGCAUGCUUGGUGUUGGUCUCGCAAGAGAUCAGUGCCGUAGUUAACAUGAUAAGCAUGCCACCUGGGGAGUACGAUCGCAAGGUUGAAACUCAAGGGAAUUGACGG
rnacentral:rRNA from 1 species